AUGUUGAAGAGGAUGGUGAAGAACACACUUAUAAGAAGAAAGAGAAAGCGAGAGACUAUAAUGCAAACAAAAUGCCCUACUAAGAUGGUGGUGAAGCUUACAGAUGGCAGAUGGGAGGUUAUCACUUUUGUUGCAGAUCACAACCACCCACUAAUUGACAAGCCAUCACUUUCGAAAUACCUCCAUUCUCACCAAGGCAUCCUGCCCGAUGAGAAAAAAUUUCUUACUCGCCUUAACGACUAUAACUUGAUAACAGCAAGGAUGAUGAUGAUAAUGUCAUCAUGCUACGACUCAGAGUUAAUUGUCCCGUACACAGCUAAAGCCAUCCACAACCAUUGUUCAAAGCUGAAUGUCACAACUAAGGAAAUUGACAUUGAAGAAACACUCAACUACUUCUGCAAGGUGAUGGAAAAUGGCCCAUGA
rnacentral:rRNA from 1 species